AUUGAACGCUGGCGGAAUGCUUUACACAUGCAAGUCGAACGGCAGCACGGGGGCAGCCCUGGUGGCGAGUGGCGAACGGGUGAGUAAUACAUCGGAACGUGCCCGGUCGUGGGGGAUAACGUAGCGAAAGUUACGCUAAUACCGCAUACGAUCUGAGGAUGAAAGCGGGGGACCUUCGGGCCUCGCGCGAUCGGAGCGGCCGAUGUCAGAUUGGGUAGUUGGUGGGGUAAAGGCCUACCAAGCCGACGAUCUGUAGCUGGUCUGAGAGGACGACCAGCCACACUGGAACUGAGACACGGCCCAGACUCCUACGGGAGGCAGCAGUGGGGAAUUUUGGACAAUGGGCGCAAGCCUGAUCCAGCCAUGCCGCGUGCAGGACGAAGGCCUUCGGGUUGUAAACUGCUUUUGUACGGAACGAAAAGGCUCUGGCUAAUACCUGGGGCUCAUGACGGUACCGUAAGAAUAAGCACCGGCUAACUACGUG
rnacentral:rRNA from 1 species